UAACACGUAGGAGGCAAGCGUUAUUCGGAUUUACUGGGCGUAAAGCGCGUGCAGGCGGUUUGGAAAGUUGGAUGUGAAAGCUCCUGGCUCAACUGGGAGAGGUCGUUCAAAACUUCCAGACUUGAGAGUGGUAGAGGGAGGUGGAAUUCCGGGUGUAGUGGUGAAAUGCGUAGAUAUCCGGAGGAACACCAGUGGCGAAAGCGGCCUCCUGGACCACUUCUGACGCUCAGACGCGAAAGCUAGGGUAGCAAACGGG
rnacentral:rRNA from 1 species